GAUGAACGCUGGCGGCGUGCCUAAUACAUGCAAGUCGAGCGAACGGACGAGAAGCUUGCGUCUCUGAUGUUAGCGGCGGACGGGUGAGUAACACGUGGAUAACCUACCUAUAAGACUGGGAUAACUUCGGGAAACCGGAGCUAAUACCGGAUAAUAUUUUGAACCGCAUGGUUCAAAAGUGAAAGACGGCCUUGCUGUCACUUAUAGAUGGAUCCGCGCUGCAUUAGCUAGUUGGUAAGGUAACGGCUUACCAAGGCAACGAUGCAUAGCCGACCUGAGAGGGUGAUCGGCCACACUGGAACUGAGACACGGUCCAGACUCCUACGGGAGGCAGCAGUAGGGAAUCUUCCGCAAUGGGCGAAAGCCUGACGGAGCAACGCCGCGUGAGUGAUGAAGGUCUUCGGAUCGUAAAACUCUGUUAUUAGGGAAGAACAUAUGUGUAAGUAACUGUGCACAUCUUGACGGUACCUAAUCAGAAAGCCACGGCUAACUACGUG
rnacentral:rRNA from 1 species